AGCGAACGCUGGCGGCAGGCCUAACACAUGCAAGUCGAACGAACCUUUCGGGGUUAGUGGCGGACGGGUGAGUAACACGUGGGAACGUGCCUUUAGGUUCGGAAUAACUCAGGGAAACUUGUGCUAAUACCGAAUGUGCCCUUCGGGGGAAAGAUUUAUCGCCUUUAGAGCGGCCCGCGUCUGAUUAGCUAGUUGGUUGAGGUAAUGGCUCACCAAGGCGACGAUCAGUAGCUGGUCUGAGAGGAUGAUCAGCCACAUUGGGACUGUGACACGGCCCAAACUCCUACGGGAGGCAGCAGUGGGGAAUCUUGCGCAAUGGGCGAAAGCCUGACGCAGCCAUGCCGCGUGAAUGAUGAAGGUCUUAGGAUUGUAAAAUUCUUUCACCGGGGACGAUAAUGACGGUACCCGGAGAAGAAGCCCCGGCUAACUUCGUG
rnacentral:rRNA from 1 species